rnacentral:rRNA from 1 species
CGGAGAGGGAGCCUGAGAAACGGCUACCACAUCCAAGGAUGGCAGCAGGCGCGCAAAUUACCCAAUCCCGACACGGGGAGGUAGUGACAAUAAAUAACAAUACGGGGUUCUUUAGGAUCUCGUAAUUGGAAUGAGUACAAUUUAAAUCUCUUAACGAGGAACAAUUGGAGGGCAAGUCUGGUGCCAGCAGCCGCGGUAAUUCCAGCUCCAAUAGCGUAUAUUAAAGUUGUUGCAGUUAAAAAGCUCGUAGUUGAAUUUCGGGGUUAGUAGGUUGGUCAUGCCUCUGGUAUGUACUGGUCUCACUGAUUCCUCCUUCCUUAUGAACCGUAAUGCCAUUAAUUUGGUGUUGCGGGGAAUUUGGACUGUUACUUUGAAAAAAUUAGAGUGUUUAAAGCAAGCUAACGCUUGAAUACAUUNNNAUGGAAUAAUGAAAUAGGACGUUCGAUCUUAUUUUGUUGGUUUCUAGGAUUGACGUAAUGAUUAAUAGGGAUAGUUGGGGGCAUUAGUAUUCAAUUGUCAGAGGUGAAAUUCUUGGAUUUAUUGAAGACUAACUACUGCGAAAGCAUUUGCCAAGGAUGUUUUCAUUAAUCAAGAACGAAAGUUAGGGGAUCGAAGACGAUCNNNUACCGUCGUAGUCUUAACCAUAAACUAUGCCGACUAGGGAUCGGAUGAUGUUAAUUUUUUAAUGACUCAUUCGGCGCCUUACGGGAAA